UUGAACAAUGUAUAAUAAAGACAUGAAUGAACAUUGUAGAUAUGAAUAUAUCUUCUAUCCACAUUGACCCAUACCAUGCUUGGGAGAAGCACUUGCCUUGCAGUUGAUUUGUUCUGAGACCAUGUGUUGAAACUAUAACAGUUGCUGUGUGGAAAAAAAACAUAGCCAUUCUAAAACACAUGAAACCUGCAGUGGAACUAUGUCCGUGACCAGGUUGCAGUAAACAUGAUGAAAAUUUUAACACCAAGUAAUAAAUGUUUAAGUUAACAGUUUUUGUGUGUGUUUGAAUGGUUAAUAUGUCUUCUACAUUAUAAUUGUCAUGUAUAUAUAUAAUAGUGUAUAAGCAAUUUAUGUAUUUAUACACAAAAGUGGUGACCUUUGACAGGACACCUUACAUGCUAGAAAGGGCAGUUAAAGCCCAAACCAUGAAUAAGGGCAAUUUCAAAGAGAAUGAAAAUAAAAAAUAUUUGUAGCCACCGAUAUGAAAAUUUUUCUAAAUUUUCUACCCUUAUUAUUUUCAUGGUAUAUAUAUAUAUACCAUAGAUCUAUUACUUCCAUCAUAGGAAUAAGAUUAAGAUUAAUGUAAUAUAAAGCUGAAGCAAAUUAACACCAAAUAUACAGUGCGUGUGUUUUUAUUGGCUAAACUGGCAAUAUGACCAUCCCCAAGUACAACAAUAUAUAUAUAUAUACCUACAUAUAUUUAUAUAAUGGAGAUACAUCAUUAUUUUAUGUCCAUUUUCCAUGCAGACAUGGAAUAGGAGGAUUCAACAGGAUUCAGUAGGUUCCAAGUUUACGUCUUGUUGCAAUGUCUCAUUUUUGGCUUGAUUUCUAUAGUUGGAUGCCCUCCCUAAUACCAGCUACUUUACAGAGUAUAACGGGUGCAUUUUUUUUUCUUGGCACUAGCAUUAUAGACCUUGCAUUGUAGUUUGCUAAGUGAAGAGUUCCUAUGAUGGAAGUAAUAGAUCUAUUGUGAAAGGAUAGUAAUGGAGAGAAUAUCAGAGGAUACAGCAUCAGGAUGAGAGUAAAAGAGAAUCACACACGUACAUACACAUACAUUCAUAUGCACACCAACUCCUCUCUACCAAAUAUUUUGGCUUUGUGUCUAAGGAAUUCUUAGGGGUAACAGGUUGCCGGAAUGGUUAGAGUAGCAGAAAAAAAAUGUUUUGCUGCCUUAAUUCUGCAUUGUUACCUUCUGAGUUCAAAUCCUGCCAAGUUCAAAUUUUCCUGUCAUCUUUUCAAAGUUCAUCAAAUAUAGUAUCAUUCAAGUACUGAGGUUGACGUAAUCAACUAGCCUCCUCCUUUGAAAAUUGCUAGUCUUGGGCCUAAAUGAGAAACAGUUAUUAUUGUAAUUAUUAGCAAGAAGCAAGCUGCUGACAGUUGAGUAUACAGCUUGGUUAUGAUUUCUGGUGUCGUCCCCUUUCUCUUCAUUAACACAUAAAAUAAGUUUAAGCCUCAUUCCAAUUAAAAAAAGGAAAACAUUUUAUUUUAUAAGUGUCUGAUAGCAGAUUUUUAACUGCAACACGACAUCUUUUGGCCUCCAGCAUAGUUCAUCAUCAUCAUCAUUGUCAUCAUUGUUGUCAUCAUCAUCAUGGUUUUAUUUUAGUUACUAUUCAUUUGUUUCUCUAUUUCACUUGUCAUCCAUUUUUGUUUUUUUUUUGGUGGGGGAGGAUGUCUGAAGGAAAAAUGUAUAUUAUGAUGGUAAUAAUAAGUACAUAAUAAUAAUGUAUAAUUCUUAAAAAUAUAAA